AAAAGGAAAACAAGAAAAAAGGAGGAAAAUAACAAGCAGAGUGGAAGAAGAAAAGAGGAAAGUGAAAAAAUGAUAGAAAAUGAGUAAUGAGAUGAACAGGAAGAUAAAUUUUGUCAGAGGAAAGAAAAAAAAGAUCAAAUUCAUGAGGAAAACAAGAAAAAAGGAGGAAAAUAACAAGCAGAGUGGAAGAAGAAAAGAGGAAAGUGAAAAAAUGAUAGAAAAUGAGUAAUGAGAUGAACAUGAAGAUAAAUUUUGUCAGAGGAAAGAAAAAAAUUAGCAAAUUCAUGAGGAAAACAAGAAAAAAGGAGGAAAAUAACAAGCAGAGCGGAAGAAGAAAAAAAGGAAAGUGAAAAAAAGAUAGAAAAUAAGUAAUGAGAUGAACAUGAAGAUAAAUUUUGUCAGAGGAAAGAAAAAAGUUAGCAAAUUCAUGAGGAAAACAAGAAAAAGGAGGAAAAUAACAAGCAGAGUGGAAGAAGAAAAGAGGAAAGUGGAAAAAAGAUAGAAAAUGAGUAAUGAGAUGAACAGGAAGAUAAAUUUUGUCAGAGGAAAGAAAAAAAGAGCAAAUUCAUGAGGAAAACAAGAUAAAAGGAGGAAAAUAACAAGGAGAGUGGAGGAAGAAAAGAGGAAAGUGAAAAAAAGAUAGAAAAUGAGUAAUGAGAUGAACAUGAAGAUAAAUUUUGUCAGAGGAAAGAAAAAAAGAGCAAAUUCAUGAGGAAAACAAGAUAAAAGGAGGAAAAUAACAAGGAGAGUGGAGGAAGAAAAGAGGAAAGUGAAAAAAAAAUAGAAAAUGAGUAAUGAGAUGAACAGGAAGAUAAAUUUUGUCAGAGGAAAGAAAAAAAAGUGAGCAAAUUCAUGAGGAAAACAAGAAAAAGGAGGAAAAUAACAAGCAAAGAGGAAAGUAAAAAAAAAUGACUAAUGAGAUGAACAAGAUAAAUUUUGUCAGAGGAAAGAAAAAAAAGUUAGCAAAUUCAUGAGGAAAACAAGAAAAAAUGAGGAAAAUAACAAGGAGAGUGGAAGAGGAAAAAAAAGAAAAGUGAAAACGAUAUCAAUAAAAAUAAUAAAAUGAACCAGAAGGAAAAUUUGCAAGAGAGGAAAGAAGAAAAAACACAUGAGAAACAAGAGAAAGAAAGACAUUGAAGAAAAAGAAGGAACAGGAUAAUGGAAUAAAGAAGGGAAGGGAAAAGAGGAAAGAAAGAAAAUAGAAAAUAAAAAUAAAAAGCAAAAGAAAGAGAAAAGAAAAGAAUGAAUAGAAUGACAAAAAGAAGAAAUAAAGAAAGUUAAAGAAGAAAAGAAAAAAAGGAUAGUAGAGAGGAAAGAGAAUAAAGAAAAAGUAAAUGAAGUAAGAAAGAAAGGAAGAAAAGAAAAAGAACAAGAUAGAGAGAAAGAAAGAGAAAAGGAAGGAGACAGGAAAAGAAGAGAGAAAGAAAGAAAGGAAAAGAAGUAAACAGAGGAAAAGAAGAGAAAGAAAGAAAGAAAAGAAAAGAGACAGGAAAAGAAUAAAAGAAAUUAAGAAAAGGAAGUAAACAGGAAAAGAAUAAAA